AUGAUGAAAGUUGUGUUAAAGUUGGAAAUAAAUGAAGACAGAAUGAAGCAAAAAGCAAUGAAGGCAGUCUCUGGGCUUUCAGGGGUUGAGUCAGUUUCAAUGGACAUUAAAGACAAGAAAUUAACCUUAAUAGGAGAUAUCGAUCCAGUAGGUGUAGUUGCUAAGCUAAGGAACCCUUAUUACGGUGCUGUUAGCGUUGAAGAAGAUCCUAAUAGCUGUGUCAUCAUCUAA